rnacentral:rRNA from 1 species
CGUACACGGUGGAUGCCCUGGCAGUCAGAGGCGAUGAAGGACGUGCUAAUCUGCGAUAAGCGCCGGUAAGGUGAUAUGAACCGUUAUAACCGGCGAUUUCCGAAUGGGGAAACCCAGUGUGACUCGUCACACUAUCAUUAACUGAAUCCAUAGGUUAAUGAGGCGAACCGGGGGAACUGAAACAUCUAAGUACCCCGAGGAAAAGAAAUCAACCGAGAUUCCCCCAGUAGCGGCGAGCGAACGGGGAGGAGCCCAGAGCCUGAAUCAGCAUGUGUGUUAGUGGAAGCGUCUGGAAAGGCGCGCGAUACAGGGUGACAGCCCCGUACACAAAAGCGCAUGUGCUGUGAGCUCGAUGAGUAGGGCGGGACACGUGGUAUCCUGUCUGAAUAUGGGGGGACCAUCCUCCAAGGCUAAAUACUCCUGACUGACCGAUAGUGAACCAGUACCGUGAGGGAAAGGCGAAAAGAACCCCGGCGAGGGGAGUGAAAAAGAACCUGAAACCGUGUACGUACAAGCAGUGGGAGCACCCUUCGGGGUGUGACUGCGUACCUUUUGUAUAAUGGGUCAGCGACUUAUAUUCUGUAGCAAGGUUAACCGUAUAGGGGAGCCGUAGGGAAACCGAGUCUUAACCGGGCGUUAAGUUGCAGGGUAUAGACCCGAAACCCGGUGAUCUAGCCAUGGGCAGGUUGAAGGUUGGGUAACACUAACUGGAGGACCGAACCGACUAAUGUUGAAAAAUUAGCGGAUGACCUGUGGCUGGGGGUGAAAGGCCAAUCAAACCGGGAGAUAGCUGGUUCUCCCCGAAAGCUAUUUAGGUAGCGCCUCGUGAAUUCAUCUCCGGGGGUAGAGCACUGUUUCGGCUAGGGGGCCAUCCCGGCUUACCAACCCGAUGCAAACUGCGAAUACCGGAGAAUGUUAUCACGGGAGACACACGGCGGGUGCUAACGUCCGUCGUGAAGAGGGAAACAACCCAGACCGCCAGCUAAGGUCCCAAAGUCAUAGUUAAGUGGGAAACGAUGUGGGAAGGCCCAGACAGCCAGGAUGUUGGCUUAGAAGCAGCCAUCAUUUAAAGAAAGCGUAAUAGCUCACUGGUCGAGUCGGCCUGCGCGGAAGAUGUAACGGGGCUAAACUAUGCACCGAAGCUGCGGCAGCGACACUAUGUGUUGUUGGGUAGGGGAGCGUUCUGUAAGCCUGUGAAGGUGUGUCGUGAGGCAUGCUGGAGGUAUCAGAAGUGCGAAUGCUGACAUAAGUAACGAUAAAGCGGGUGAAAAGCCCGCUCGCCGGAAGACCAAGGGUUCCUGUCCAACGUUAAUCGGGGCAGGGUGAGUCGACCCCUAAGGCGAGGCCGAAAGGCGUAGUCGAUGGGAAACGGGUUAAUAUUCCCGUACUUGGUGUUACUGCGAAGGGGGGACGGAGAAGGCUAUGUUGGCCGGGCGACGGUUGUCCCGGUUUAAGCGUGUAGGUGUGUGUUCCAGGUAAAUCCGGUUCACUUUAACACUGAGGCGUGA